UACGUAGGGGGCUAGCGUUGUCCGGAAUCAUUGGGCGUAAAGCGCGCGUAGGCGGCCCGGUAAGUCCGCUGUGAAAGUCAAAGGCUCAACCUUUGAAUGUCAGCGGAUACUGCCAGGCUAGAGUCCGGAAGAGGCGAGUGGAACUCCUGGUGUAGCGGUGGAAUGCGUUGAUAUCUACAGGAACUCCGGUGGCGAAAGCGGCGCGCUGGACCCUCUUCUGACGCUGAGGCGCGAAAGCUAAGGGGAGCAAACGGGGGAU
rnacentral:rRNA from 1 species